rnacentral:rRNA from 1 species
AGAGUUUGAUCAUGGCUCAGAACGAACGCUGGCGGCGUGCCUAACACAUGCAAGUCGAACGAGGUAGCAAUACCUAGUGGCGGACGGGUGAGUAAUACAUAGGCAACCUGCCCAACAGUGGGGGAUACCCAGUCGAAAGAUUGGCUAAUACCGCAUACGAUCCAAGUCUGGGAUGACUUGGAUGAAAGAUUUAUCGCUGU